rnacentral:lncRNA from 1 species
UUUUUGCACACCAGUCCAACUGAAGUGUCACACACCACCGUUUGUCCAAGCUGUUUGAUGGGAACGUUUGGAUACCUCUGGGCUCUGCAGGCGAUGUCGUGUCGGCUACCCAGCCUCUUCCACAGACAUCUCUGAUGGGUUCAAUGUCGGCACCUUGUUUGGUCACAUUUGGUUUACCAGAAUCCAGCCACCCAGUCCAUUGGCAGUCGUCCCAACACAGCGUGGUCUCAGUGGUCGUGGGUGGGGAGGUCACAGUGGUGGGGGUUGGUGUUGGGGUCUCUGGGGUGGUGGUGGUGGUGGUGGUGGUGAUGGGGGUCACGGUGGAGGUCUCAGUGGUGGUGGGAGAAGCUGUGGAGAAACAAACAACCCACAGCAGUACACGUUGAUCUCAUAGUUGAGGC